CCUUUUGCAAUAGGUGAUGUCACACUUCUGUCUUACUGAUGCUCUCCACUUCUGUUAGUCACUGCAUAAGAGCUAGGGGUGCACCGAUUGAUCGGCUGUGGAUCGGAACAGGCUGGAACACACGAUCGGUGACUGGCUGGUUUAUUUUCAGUUGGCCGAUCUGUAUUCCGGUUUUAUGAUGUAAGAAACGUGAGCAUGCGCUACCUGCAGCAUUCAAGAAGCUUACUAGAGAAAUCGACUCUUCUGCCGCGACUGCCGUCAUCACGUGCUGGCGCAGAUCACGGUGUGAAGCGUCAAAACGCACUCUUCUGGAAGCAGCUGAAAAGAUUCAGCCAUGCUGAAUCAGAGCUCCUUCAUCGUGUGCUAUGACAACAGUAACAAUAGGCCUAAUGCUUUAUUAUUAUAAUAAACCAUGAACAAUCUUUUCUUUGUUAGCUUACCUGUUGAAACAAAAAAAAAAAAAAACUUUCGCCUAUUGGAAUCGGCUGAUUUGGCUUUAAAAAAUCGGCCACUGGAAUCGGCCAUAAAAAUUCAUUCUCGGUGCACCCCUAAUAAGAACAUCUGCUAAGAAACUGUAAUGUAAUAGCGCUGUACAGUGCCUGCAUAUUCACUCAGCAGGUCAGUGGCCUGAGAGAAUAUACGAUGCUAUCAGUGUGCAGUCUUUGAAGUCGAGUUUAAUGUCAAAGGUGUCCAUUAAUUGAUUGUUCUUCUCCUCAUGCAGUAGUUGCUGUCAUUGUCAUCAUUGGUGUCAUUGCCAUCGUUAUUUAUCGAAGACGGCAUAAGAGGCGUCGGGAAGGACAGGACGGGGAGCGUCCCCCUGACAAUAACGUGAAGAUCUUCUUAAUGGAGACGAUCAACACAGUUGAAUGUUCCUAACGUAGUCCACAUAUUUUGCGGUUGCCAUUAGCCAGUACACCUACGCAUAACUGCGCAUAAAAUGGAUUCACAGAUUUGCACAAGAUUUUGUGGAAAGGUUGGUCAUGAUGAGCCAAAGAAGAGGUCACGUGUUUGUGUGAAGGUGUCUGCGUGGAUGCAUGCACACAUGGAUGCAUGCUCGCAGCUGUUGCGCUCGCAGCUAUCGCGCUUGUUUGUAUUUAACGCAGACUCAUGCUAUUCCGAGUUUGCGGUGGGAGAUGAAAUGGUAUUCCGAACACAGGGAAGUAGUGGAGUUGCUUUAUCCUUUUCUCAGUAAUUAUUCUAGUCUAAUUUACAUCAAAGUGUUUUAGUGUCUCUGAGUGCCAAAAAUCAAUCACAAUCAUUCAUCAGGAAAAAAACUGCCAUUGAAGCGACAUCAACUUUUGCAUGAAAGCGGCCGCCUCCUGUGUUGUGUUCGGAACACCACGAGUCUACGUUAGUUGUUUAUUUCUGUAAGCUGUAUUUUGUAUUCAUUAUUCUUUCAAAUGUCAUUUUGCUGUGCAGGCGGCCUGACCCCCUCCCUGCAAUGUUGCCAAGGUCUCUUAUAAGCAGCCACUUUGGGCUUCUUCUGCUUUUCUUCUUUUAAGUGGCUGUUAAAUUUGAAGGGAAGACCGACGCACCAGAUUUUAUUAGAAACAACGAAAUACACCUCUUUUUGCCCCGCCUCCCUUUUUCAACAAUCUUCGGAAUAAUCACUUGGCCUACGUCAUAUUUUGUAAUGUGAUAGAGUGAGAAAAUGAGAUACUGCCAAAUUAGCUAUAGCUAGCCCCUUUUUUCAUUGAAGUAUUAGCCUAUAUCGCUACAGCUUGAUGCACAUUAGAAAAUUAUUGCAGUAGCGUGGUAUGCACUUUUGUAUGUCGCUUCGGAUAAAAGCGUCUGCCAAAUAAAUGUAAUGUGAUGGAAAACAAGUUACAGCAACAUAUAAUGCUGGAGUAAUUUGCUUGCUGGAGGUGGAUUAGAGUAUAUCGCAAUGUACAAACUAAUUAGCUAGUGCCGUCCAUCUGAAGGCAUUGAUAAACCUAACACUGUUAGUAGCUGCUUAUAUUGUCUAAUAUCCUCAUACUGGACGGACAGGGAUGCAAACAAUUGGGAUCAGUCUUCUUUUGAUUCCAAAUCAAAUAUUGCAGUGCUGUCCAUUUCUGUCACGAUUCAAGAGGUUUAUUGUCAUGUCCCAUUAUACAAGUACAAGAGAGUAAAAAUCAUAGGUUUCAGCUCCUCGGCCUUGCAGCACCUGUCACCUCAUCACUGAAGCUGCGUGACAUCAAGUGUUUCUGUCAGAAGUGAUCAAUUUGUUAUAUUUGGAGCCAUACUAACAACAAUUGCAGCUUAAUUUAAUGAGAGCCCCUGGAUGAAUAAAGGUCUAAUAUCUUUUGGGGAAGCCAUUAUGUGGUGCUUACCCUUUAAAAAGUUGGUUUCAGUGUUUUGAACUUGUUUUAGUUGAUGUAUUUUUGGGAUUUUUUUAUUGUUUGGUGAUCUGAGAUAAAAUGAAAGCUACACUAAGUGAAAUGGUGCUAGCCAUUGUGAAGCCAGCUCUUCCCCUCCUCUCACUGUGCCAAAGAGCUCUGUUGUUUGUUCGAUUGUGCCGACACCGAGCUGCAAGCUAAAAGUAUUUCAAUGCACUAAUGACCAUGCGUUACAAUGUUUUAUUUUUAUAGCCGAUUUGUAUGGUCUGUGGAAGAUAUUAAUAAUUUUUUGUUUGGGAAAAUUGUUUACAGAAACACAUGUAUGUUUUGUAUUUUUGUAUGCAAGCACUGAAACUGAAACACAUUCCUAAGUACUGUAAGGUGGGUGUUGCAAUAAAGCACUGGGCUGAAUUGAA